CUGACCCUUCCUGUCUGGAUCUACGCAAUUGCUGGUCGGUGAAUUUGGCCCGCAUGGAUAUACUCUUGGCAUGCUCUUUGGGGUGCAUCUUUCUCAAAUGGUUAAACAAGUUUGUCGUGUUGCCCCUGCACGUUUUAACAUUACCCCUGCACACUUUGCAGAGCACGAGGGCUUGAGCACUGUCAUCUGGCUCGAAACCAAACCAUUCCCAAAUCACAGAGUAUGAGCCCCUUUUGGGCACUAAAUUCGCUUUGGCAGACAUACUGAGUUUUGUGCGCAAAGGUUAAUAAUUCACUGUUUGGUUUGUCCAAUUACUUAUGUCCCACUAAACCGUACUAAGUUCUGUUUAUUGUAAAAAUAUUUGUUUUUACUGUUUGGUUUGACUGAUUAGUUUUGUCCCACUAAAUUAUCUUUGACAUACAGUACAAGUGUUGUACUGUCAUGUUAUAAAAGGUAAUAAUUGACAAGACUUUUUAGUGUGUCCACUUAGUUUCCCCCCACUAAAAUGAACUAAAUAAUUCAGGAUCGUAAUUAAGUGUUUCUGUUUAGUCUUUGCAAUUAGCUUUGCCCCACUAAAACACAUUUAAUUCUGCUUUUUAAAAGAUAAUAGUUUUACAUUGUUUGCUUUGUUCAAUUAGUUUUGUCCCACUAAAUCGUCUUUGACCAACAUCAUGAAAAUUAUUUCAUGAAGUAAUGAUUUACAGUUGCGGUUUGGUUUGUCGAAUUAGUUUUGUCCGACUAAAAUGUUUAAAAAUCGGUUUAUUCAAAGAUAAUCAUUGACGAGACUGAUUAGUUUGUCCAUAUUCUUUUGUCCGAUGUCACUGCAACCAAUCAGGAAUCAGUUAAGUUCACGCGAAUUGGAAAAUUUUAAACCCGUCAUGCUCAAUCUCGAGUAGCGGGGACAGAAACAGAUGACAUGAAGGCACGAGUUGUAAACGACUUCUUUCUCCUGCUUUCCUCCAUGCGGACGACACGGGACGGAGACUUUACCCGUUUUUAAAUCGUUAACGACACGUAAAACUAUCGGAAAGAUCAGCGCGGAUCAACCGGACCUGUGCAUUGAUUGCGCUGCAGUUUUGGUGGCCUGAGCCUAGGAAGGAUUUCACAGACUUCAUUGGGGCCUGCUCAGCCUGCGCUUGCGGCAAGACAUCUCGUUAGCCCCCUACAGGUCUGCUUCGACCACUCCCGGUACCGUCUCACACAUGGUCUCACAUCUCACUCUGUUUCAUAACUGCUCUGCCCACGUCUCAUGGAAAGUCUGGCACCAUCACUGUGGUGGAUCGAUUUUCGAAGCUGGCGCACUGCAUUCCGCCAACCAAGCUCCUGUCAUCGUUGGAGACCGCCCAACGAUUGAUCAAGCAUGUCUUCCUCAUCCAUGGAAUCCCGGUCGAUUUAGUCUCCGACUGGGGUCAAGAGUUCGGCUCACAAAUCUGGAGAAAAUUUUGUAGAGCCGUGGGAGCAACUACCAUCCGCCAAUCAAUGGACAAACAGAAAGGGCUCAUCAGGACUUGGAGGCUGGCCUUCGCUGUGUCUAUAUGCAGCAACCAACGUUGUGGGCUGCCCAUCUGCCAUGGCUCCAGCUGGAGCGGAGGGCGUUCCCAUCAGCGAUGCAGCUGUCUUGCAUUUUGUAACCAACCUCCUGGACUAAUCAAGGACUGCUUUGCGCUCAUGCCGCUGUCAGAUUAUUCGCCUUGCUCUUGUUCUACGUACCAAGUGCAAUUUUCUCGUCAAUCUUGUUCUCCGUUCUUGCCAUAGUCUUCGUUAGUUAUUGUUAUUGUACGAUUUAGUUUCUUAUUUCUAGCACAGUCUGUUUUGUGUUUCAGUCGUUAUUGGAUUUACGUGUCCUUUUGACAAGCAAUUUACAUUGUUCGUUUUUACCCCUUGCCUUGUGCAUGCGCAUUUUGUUAUCCAGGGUUUUUCUGGCCCUGCUGGACAGCGAUCUCAUUUGUACUUUGUCGGUCUUGUGACCUUUGUUGUAAAUAAACGUUUUUUUGUCAAGAGAUUUUUAUCCAUGUCUACAUUUUUGGGAUCCACCCUUUUCCGGAUUAUUCCAGAACGUGACAGACAGCAGGUUGAUUUUACUC